UACGGAAGGCAGCAGGGGGAAUAUUGCACAAUGGGCGCAAGCCUGAUGCAGCCAUGCCGCGUGUAUGAAGAAGGCCUUCGGGUUGUAAAGUACUUUCAGUCGUGAGGAAGGUGUUAAGGUUAAUAACCUUAGCAAUUGACGUUAGCGACAGAAGAAGCACCGGCUAACUCCGUGCCAGCAGCCGCGGUAAUACGGAGGGUGCGAGCGUUAAUCGGAAUUACUGGGCGUAAAGGGCACGCAGGCGGUUAAUUAAGUUGGAUGUGAAAUCCCCGGGCUUAACCUGGGAAUGGCAUUCAAGACUGGUUAGCUAGAGUCUUGUAGAGGGGGUAGAAUUCCAUGUGUAGCGGUGAAAUGCGUAGAGAUGUGGAGGAAUACCGGUGGCGAAGGCGGCCCCUGACAAAGGCUGACGCUCAUGUGCGAAAGCGUGGGGAGCAAAC
rnacentral:rRNA from 1 species